rnacentral:snoRNA from 1 species
CUGGGGAAUUCAAACUUGUGUUAAGAAAAUGUGUCCCAGUGUGCAAUGGCUGCAAACAGCAGCUUCCUUGGUAGUGUAUGCAGCCUGUUUGUUGUACGGGUUGCUCUAAAGGGCCUUGGAGACAGUC